rnacentral:lncRNA from 1 species
UGAAUAACCGGAACAUUGAAUUUAAAUCAAUCAUGCACCAAUCCCUUUCCAAAUUUUAAGUUAAUAUUCAAUUUGUAACACCUAAAUCAGGAAAUAAUACAAAUUAACCUUCCCAUAUAAAAGACUCCAACAUUUAUGAACAAGUCUCAUAAAAUUAAAGGCAUAAAAUAUACUUGCAUUUUCAAAAUGGUUGUCAAGUUAAACAUCAAUAAAAGUAAAUGUGCUAUAUCUUAAACAUCCAAUAAGAAAUGAAUGGGAUGUUGAUACGCAAUAUGAGGCAGCAUGUAAAAUAUAUAAGCAUGACUGGUGUCAUAAAAAGUAAACAUCCUUUUCAAGAAUAUAUAAACAAUGUUUUCAAACCUUCUUCAUAUACUUUUUUGGAUGCCCACAAGUAAAAAUAAAACUGAAUUUAUCAUAUUUAACAUUUAAAAAUAUUUCUGACAGGACCAUUUCAAAGAAUGAUAGAAGCCUUGCUUUUUUCCCCAAGUCAAUUUUGUUGGUGAAUAUUAUUCUAUGUUACUGUCUGACAGCUUUAAAUGUAACCCAAACAAUAAACAGGUAAUUUUUAUCUAUAUAAUCCUAUAUAACAAUUAACCACAUUUUAAUUUUUAUAAAGAUCAUUUAAGCAUAUUUUAAUUUUUAUAAAUAUCAUUUAUAUAAGGUAUAUCAUUGCUGAAAAUAAAAUUAUACAACUUAUAAAAUUAUACAAGUUGAAUGGAUAAGUUUUAGUAAAGCAGUUACUUAUACAGAGUAAGUCCAAUAAUUAAGAUGUUAUUCAUUUCAGUGAUACCAAUUCCAAAGGAAAAAAAUGUGCAAAACUGUGAAGAGAGGUAAAGAACACUAAGUAACAGUAUCCCAUUAAUGCUAAAUAUGGAAGAUGACAAAAAUACAAAGUUAGGCUUUGUAAACACAGCAAAGAGAGGAUUACCUGGAACCUCUUUUCAGCAGCAGAUAAAGAGGGAAAAAGAUUACAACAUAAAUUUGAAUUGAAAACACUAGUGAAAUACCUCCUGUAAUAAAAUAUUUUAACAAGUUUAAUGCAGACAGCUAUAUUGCAUAAUAUUAAAGGCCUGUUGUUUUUAGUUUAUAAUCCCAGCACUUUGGGAGCCCAAGGCAGGAGGAUCACGAGGUCAGGAGUUCGAGACCAGCCUGGCCAACAUGGUGAAAUCCCGUCUC